GAUAAACGCUGGCGGCGUGCCUAAUACAUGCAAGUCGAGCGAACAGACGAGGAGCUUGCUCCUCUGAUGUUAGCGGCGGACGGGUGAGUAACACGUGGAUAACCUACCUAUAAGACUGGGAUAACUUCGGGAAACCGGAGCUAAUACCGGAUAACAUGUUGAACCGCAUGGUUCAACAGUGAAAGACGGUCUUGCUGUCACUUAUAGAUGGAUCCGCGCCGCAUUAGCUAGUUGGUAAGGUAACGGCUUACCAAGGCAACGAUGCGUAGCCGACCUGAGAGGGUGAUCGGCAACACUGGAACUGGGACACGGUCCAGACUCCUACGGGAGGCAGCAGUAGGGAAUCUUCCGCAAUGGGCGAAAGCCUGACGGAGCAACGCCGCGUGAGUGAAGAAGGUCUUCGGAUCGUAAAACUCUGUUAUUAGGGAAGAACAAAUGUGUAAGUAACUAUGCACGUCUUGACGGUACCUAAUCAGAAAGCCACGGCUAACUACGUG
rnacentral:rRNA from 1 species